rnacentral:rRNA from 1 species
UAGCUAGUUGGUGAGGUAAAGGCUUACCAAGGCGACGAUCUGUAGCGGGUCUGAGAGGAUGAUCCGCCACACUGGAACUGAGACACGGUCCAGACUCCUACGGGAGGCAGCAGUGGGGAAUUUUGGACAAUGGGGGCAACCCUGAUCCAGCCAUGCCGCGUGAGUGAAGAAGGCCUUCGGGUUGUAAAGCUCUUUCGGCCGGGAAGAAAUCGCAUGGGCCAAUACCCUGUGUGGAUGACGGUACCGGAAUAAGAAGCACCGGCUAACUACGUGACAGCAGCCGCGGUAAUACGUAGGGUGCGAGCGUUAAUCGGAAUUACUGGGCGUAAAGCGUGCGCAGGCGGUUUUGUAAGACAGGCGUGAAAUCCCCGGGCUUAACCUGGAACUGCGUUUGUGACUGCAAGGCUAGAGUACGGCAGAGGGGGGUGGAAUUCCACGUGUAGCAGUGAAAUGCGUAGAGAUGUGGAGGAACACCAAUGGCGAAGGCAGCCCCCUGGGUCGAUACCGACGCUCAUGCACGAAAGCGUGGGUAGCAAACAGGAUUAGAUACCCUGGUAGUCCACGCCCUAAACUAUGUCAACUAGGUGUUGGGUGGGUAAAACCAUUUAGUACCGUAGCUAACGCGUGAAGUUGGCCGCCUGGGGAGUACGGCCGCAAGGUUAAAACUCAAAAUUGACGGGGACCCGCACAAGCGGUGGAUGAUGUGGAUUAAUUCGAUGCAACGCGAAAAACCUUACCUACCCUUGACAUGCCAGGAACUUGCCGGAGAUGGCUUGGUGCCCGAAAGGGAGCCUGGACACAGGUGCUGCAUGGCUGUCGUCAGCUCGUGUCGUGAGAUGUUGGGUUAAGUCCCGCAACGAGCGCAACCCUUGUCGUUAAUUGCCAUCAUUUAGUUGGGCACUUUAACGAGACUGCCGGUGACAAACCGGAGGAAGGUGGGGAUGACGUCAAGUCCUCAUGGCCCUUAUGGGUAGGGCUUCACACGUCAUACAAUGGUCGGUACAAAGGGUUGCCAAGCCGCGAGGCGGAGCCAAUCCCAGAAAGCCGAUCGUAGUCCGGAUUGCAGGCUGCAACUCGCCUGCAUGAAGUCGGAAUCGCUAGUAAUCGUGGAUCAGCAUGUCACGGUGAAUACGUUCCCGGGUCUUGUACACACCGCCCGUCACACCAUGGGAGCGGGUUCCGCCAGAAGUAGGUAGCCUAACCGCAAGGGGGGCGCUUACCACGGCGGGGUUCGUGACUGGGGUGAAGUCGAACAAGGUAGCCGUAGGGGAACCUGCGGCUG